CCUACGGGAGGCAGCAGUGAGGAAUAUUGGUCAAUGGACGAGAGUCUGAACCAGCCAAGUAGCGUGAAGGAUGACUGCCCUAUGGGUUGUAAACUUCUUUUAUAUGGGAAUAAAAUGUUCCACGUGUGGGAUUUUGUAUGUACCAUAUGAAUAAGGAACGGCUAACUCCGUGCCAGCAGCCGCGGUAAUACGGAGGAUCCGAGCGUUAUCCGGAUUUAUUGGGUUUAAAGGGAGCGUAGGGGGAUUGUUAAGUUAGUUGUGAAAUUUUGCGGGUUAAACGUAAAAUUGCAGUUGAAACUGGCAGUCUUGAGUACAGUAGAGGUGGGCGGAAUGCGUGGUGUAGCGGUGAAAUGCUUAGAUAUCACGAAGAACUCCGAUUGCGAAGGCAGCUCACUGGACUGCAACUGACACUGAGGCUCGAAAGUGUGGGUAUCGAACAGGAUUAGAUACCCGGGUAGUC
rnacentral:rRNA from 1 species